rnacentral:misc_RNA from 1 species
GAUGAAGAACGUAGUGAGAUGCGAUAAGUAAUGUGAAUUGCAGAAUUCAGUGAAUCAUCGAAUCUUUGAACGCACAUUGCGCCCGCCAGUAUUCUGGCGGGCAUGCCUGUUCGAGCGUCAUUUCAACCAUCAAGCCCCCGGCUUGUGUUGGGGACCUGCGGCUGCCGCAGGCCCUGAAAAGCAGUGGCGGGCUCGCUGUCACACCGAGCGUAGUAGCAUACAUCUCGCUCUGGGCGUGCUGCGGGUUCCGGCCGUUAAACCACCUUCAUAACCCAAGGUUGACCUCGGAUCAGGUAGGAAGACCCGCUGAACUUAAGCAUAUCAAUAAGCGGAGGA